AUAUUGAGGAAAGGGAUCAAUUGAAAGAAUGUUGGGUAGCUCACAGAUGACUGGGAAGUCUGCUUUGGAUGCCUGCUGGAACAAUGGAGGUUGAGAAACAGCUAGGACCCCAGCUGAAAUCAUGCCUGUCUGCUCAUCCAAGAUCAACUGCAGAGGAGGACGAGGGAAAUUUUAUAUGGGAACAAUUAUCUGAAAAAUACAAUAGAAGGCAACUGGAAAAGAGGCAAGGAUUCUAACUACAUACUGCAGAAAAAAUGUUCACACCUGUCAAAUUCCAACAGCUGGCAUUGUUGUUGUUCUAUGAAUAAGCACACACAGAAUCCUCGUGAAGAGUUCUUUGUCUCUUGCUCUCGUAAAUCAUAACCUGCUUGUAGCUUUUUUAUGAACCUUCAGGAAAAACUCUUCAGAGGAUGAUAAUACAUCAUUAAGAUUAAAUUGAACCUCAAAGGUGGG